AUCCUUUUCCAGUUCAUAUGCAUGAUGAUUGGAUGCUCACACGUUUGUGUGACAUGUGCUGCCCUUAAAUCUUGUUACACAUUUGGCACAUUACCCAUCUGAUG